GAUGAACGCUGGCGGCGUGCCUAAUACAUGCAAGUCGAGCGAACGGACGAGAAGCUUGCUUCUCUGAUGUUAGCGGCGGACGGGUGAGUAACACGUGGAUAACCUACCUAUAAGACUGGGAUAACUUCGGGAAACCGGAGCUAAUACCGGAUGAUAUUUUGAACCGCAUGGUUCAAAAGUGAAAUACGGUCUUGCUGUCACUUAUAGAUGUAUCCGCGCUGCAUUAGCUAGUUGGUAAGGUAACGGCUUACCAAGGCAACGAUGCAUAGCCGACCUGAGAGGGGGAUCGGCCACACUGGAACUGAGACACGGUCCAGACUCCUACGGGAGGCAGCAGUAGGGAAUCUUCCGCAAUGGGCGAAAGCCCGACGGAGCAACGCCGCGUGAGUGAUGAAGGUCUUCGGAUCGUAAAACUCUGUUAUUAGGGAAGAACAUAUGUGUAAGUAACUGUGCACAUCUUGACGGUACCUAAUCAGAAAGCCACGGCUAACUACGUG
rnacentral:rRNA from 1 species